rnacentral:rRNA from 1 species
UGGGGAAUAUUGGGCAAUGGGCGAAAGCCUGACCUAGCAACGCCGCGUGAGGGAAGAAGGGUUUCGGCUCGUAAACCUCUGUCCUAUGGGACGAAGGAAGUGACGGUACCAUAGGAGGAAGCCCCGGCUAACUACGUGCCAGCAGCCGCGGUAAUACGUAGGGGCGAGCGUUGUCCGGAAUGAUUGGGCGUAAAGGGCGCGUAGGCGGCCCGUUAAGUCUGGAGUGAAAGUCCUGCUUUCAAGGUGGGAAUUGCUUUGGAUACUGAUGGGCUGGAGUGCAGGAGAGGAAAGCGGAAUUACCGGUGUAGCGGUGAAAUGCGUAGAGAUCGGUAGGAACACCAGUGGCGAAGGCGGCUUUCUGGACUGAAACUGACGCUGAGGCGCGAAAGCGUGGGGAGCAAACAGGAUUAGAUACC